rnacentral:rRNA from 1 species
AUUGAACGCUGGCGGCAGGCCUAACACAUGCAAGUCGAGCGGAUGAAGGGAGCUUGCUCCUGGAUUCAGCGGCGGACGGGUGAGUAAUGCCUAUGAAUCUGCCUGGUAGUGGGGGAUAACGUCCUGAAACGGGCGCUAAUACCGCAUACGUCCUGAUGGAGAAAGUGGGGGAUCUUCGGACCUCACGCUAUCAGAUGAGCCUAGGUCGGAUUAGCUAGUUGGUGGGGUAAAGGCCUACCAAGGCGACGAUCCGUAACUAGUCUGAGAGGAUGAUCAGUCACACUGGAACUGAGACACGGUCAAGACUACUAAGGGAGGGAGCAGUGGGGAAUAUUGGACAAUGGGCGAAAGCCUGAUACAGCCAUGCCGCGUGUGUGAAGAAGGUCUUCGGAGUGUAAAGAACUUUAAGUUGGGAGGAAGGGCAGUAAGUUAAUACCUAGCUGUUUUGACGGUACCAACAGAAUAAGCACCGGCUAACUUCGUG